rnacentral:tRNA from 1 species
GGACUAUGGCUCAGUGGGAGAGCAUCUGUUUGGCAUGCAGAAGGCCACAGGUUCAGUUCCUAGCAUCUCCA